rnacentral:lncRNA from 10 species
AGUCGGGAGGCGGGAGAAGCGAGCUGCCCCAGCGGCCUCUCACCUGUGUCGUCCCCUCGCGUCUGGGCGGCUGCGCUGCUGUUGUGGUAGGACUGGAGACAGAGUCUUGCUCUAUUGCCCAGGCUGCAACUGGUGUGAUCUCGGCUCACUACAACCUCUGCCUCCUGGGUUCAAGCGAUUCUCCUGCCUCAAGCUCCCAAGUAGCUGGGAUUACAAGCAUGCACCACCAUGCCUGGCUAAUUUUUGUAUUUUUAGUGGAGACGGGGUUUCGCCACAUUGGCCAGGGUGGUCUUGAACUCCUGACCUCAAGUGAUCCACCUGCCUUGGCCUCCCAAAGUGCUGGGAUUAUAAGCAUGAGCCACUGCACCCAGCCUUAUACUGAACUUUCAAUGGGUUCAAUUCCACUAGGAGCAUAAAGGCCACUGCAUAUGAGUUGUGGAAAGAAGAGAUUAGAAGAAGGAAGAACUUGAGAUGAGUUCCUCCCUUCAACAUUCUGUCUCCUCCUACCUAGCAUCUUCUUUCUUUUAGUCUUUCUAGAAUGUCCAUCUGUUUUUGGCCAUUGCGGAGAGAGAAGCUGAGCUUUAAAGGAGUAGGAGCUUCAAAGGCUUGCUGAGACAAAGGAAAACCCACUCCCUUGGAGGAGCAUGACCUUUUCCUGUAAUUCUUCCCACUGCUGUUGUUGAGCUCCUUGGAUCCUGGCUCCUGGACACCAUCAUCAAGAAGACUUUAUGGAUGGGCUGUCCACCCACUGAGAGAAGAGGAGCAUCAGCUACAGUUUCUCUCUAGAUUGCCUUCUUCAUUUUGAGUAAUGACUGUCAGCAGGGUCAGAUUAAACACAAAACAACUGGACAAUUGCUUGGAGGACUAAACUAUAAGGGCACUAACAUGUCAAUAGUAGGCUAACACAUCCAUGGAAAAUAUAUUUACCAGCUCUUCUCUCAGGGAGGAUUCUGUGUGGGGUUGGAAGUAAUGAUUUGUUAAAUUCCUUAGGGGUAGAAAGUAGGGCAUAAUCAGAAUAUAGAGGAAUAUGCUGUUUGACUUCAGGGUUUCUGUUUUUCUUACUAGGAUAUAUAAAACAGGGACUCUAGCUAGAUUGUUUAUGACCACAGAGGGUAGGCUGAGUGCUCCCAUGAUCUUCCUGCUUGGUUCUUGCCCAUACAGAGGUCAGCCUUUCCUCUAAUAAAGAUUGAACAAGUAGUGGUCUGAGGGAGACACCAAUUCAUUACCCUACAUGUCUCUUCUCUGCACUCCAGGGCUUUGAUAAUAAAGACACUGGCAGACUAUCUAUCUUCCAUUUCUAUAAUGUGAGCCCUUAGGGAGUCUUCGUUCACUUGGGGGUGAGGGUCAUUGCUCACAGAGUAGUUCAAGUCAAAUGGAACUUGAACUCUUUGCCUAUGGGCCUGGUGGUCAGACUCUGUGUUGAGUUCAUUAGAUUAUUGGAGACACAAGGUAGAGCUGGAUGCUUCAAAAAUAUUUGGCUAAAGGAUGACAUUGCUGGUUAUUUGUAGAUAAAGCCAUGAUGGAACCUGCUUGGAAUCAUGAAAUAUGGAACUGGUGGUCAUGUUUAAAAAUACAACUAAUAGUUAAGUACCUACUGGACACUGUAGAGACUUAGGGGCUAGACAGACAUGGUUCCUGCCCCCUUGGAGCUUACACUGUAGCUUCCCCUUAGGUAUGAAGAACAGUGGCUACAACUAACAAAUGGCCACAAAGAUAUAAUUGAGCCAGUGUUCCAAUUAUUAGGGUAAUUCCUAUUUCCUUAAUCAUUCCUAUUGACCAUGUUCUAUAAGCCUGCAUUCUAUAAAUGGCGUAUGACCAUGGGCUGUUUCCCCCCAGCAAGUUGUACAAAGUUCUGUGGUACCAGGGAAAGGGCUUAAGGUUAGCAGGGCCUCUGCGGAAGGACAUAUGAAGUGACUUGGGUUAGGAAACAGGAAGGGAUAGGAUUCAAGAACAGCUAUUGCUUCUGUUCUAUAUAGGAAACUGCAGCGUGAAAAAUGCUGGGCUGGGAAUUUUGAGACCUGGGUUUUAGUUUGUGUUCUAAUACUAACAAGCUAUGUGACUGUGGGUAAGUCAUUUCACAUUCCAUUUGGAUGCCUCUUGAGUGACUCCAGGCCUCUCCAGCUCUAAAACAUUAAGAUCAGGCCCUACGCUACAGCUGGCCAGUGUGUAAUUCUUCUGUUUCUAUGCUGUUAGGUCAAAUAGAUCUUCAAUAGUUACUUGAUUGUUAUUACUUUUUUCUGAAGUGGGUGUUUUAUCAAUGUUUUAGGAUACAGUGAGUCUGCUUCUCCCCUUUGGAGUUAGGAAGGUUGUAGGAAUAUACACUGUAGAGCAUAUGGGAGCUUUAUCCCCUCCUUUUUUCCCCGCUACCUUUCUCCCUCUCCUUCCCUUCAUCACAUUUCUAUUGAGCAUAUGCCAUUGCCGUGUACCAGGUGUGUGCUAGGUUUGGAGAUACAAGGUAAACCUGAGACUUUCCCAGUCUCCAGGAGACAAAACCCUAAUUUCUUUCAUCUGCUGUCUUUCUCUUUGGAAAGAAUCAACGAUAUCCCAGGGGAAUGUGCCCAUGUCCCAGGGUAACCAACUACAGACAGAUGCCCCAUUCUACUCAAGCAACUUUUAGAGUGCCUUGAGAUACACAUCAGAUAAUUAUGCAGGGCCAGGCAUGGUGCUGCACACUUGUAAUCACAGCACUUUGGGAGGCCGAGGCAGCAGAUUGCUUGAGCCCAGGAAUUCAAGUGUAGCCUAGGGAACAUGGCAAAACCCCAGCUCUACAAAAAAAUACACAAAUUAGCUGCGUGUGGUGGCCUAUGACAGGAGGCUGAGAUGGGAGGAUUGCUUGAGCCUGUGAGGUCGAGGCUGCAGUGAGCCGAGAUCAUGCCAUUACUCCAGCCUGGGUGACAUAGGGAGACCCUGUCUUGAAAAAAAAAAAAAAAAGAUAAUUAUUCAGCCCUAGAGUCAUUGUGAAAAGAUCUAUCUUCAGAUAUAAGGAAGAAACAAUCUUUUAUUUCUUAGGAUAAAUCUGUAGAAGGACCUCCAGACAGUGAAGGCCACUGACUACUUUAUACUCUGUAAGCCAUCCCUCCCUGGUAGGAAGGACUAUUUCCAAUCUUACAGAGUACCUCUCAGCAAAUAGACGUUUUCACAUAUACUGUGAUUCAUACAUCCCUAUGGCUGGUGACCUCUUUAAAAAGGAAAGGAAAAAGCCUAAUCAAACAAAAAGAUGCUGCUAGUAAUUCUUACCCUAUUGUGAAUCCUAUAUAAGCAAAUUUGUAUCUUUGUUUUUUCCUACAUUAGCAGAUCUAUUUGAUGUAUAUCUCUGAGUGCAGAAAAUAUUUUAUGGAAAAAUCAAUAUAUGGAAUUUCAAAUUCAGAAUUGCUGAUACACACUAUUUGGUUUCACAAUUUUAUCCUAGGAAAUAGUAUUAGAGAUUUCAAUUUCUGGCUUAAAUGGUAGAAUUAAUUACUCUUAACUCUUAAUUUUACUUCUGAGUUGAGGUCAAGGAACAGGCAGACACCUGCAGUUAACGUCUAUACCUCUCCAUGGCCAAGAGUUUUAAUUUUCUCGUCUUCAAUUUUGUAGAUGUUCAUCAUUACUAAAUGGAUUGAUUAGUAUUUUAUCUCCUCUCCUUGUCCUUACUUUCCCUCUGGUAAAUAUGUUAUAAACAGUGUAAGGCUCCUAAGAUAGAGUAGCUGGUAGGACUUAGAAGAGAAACAAAGGGCACUGAUAACUCACAUAAAUGGAAAAUUGGCUCUGGAAUAACUGACAACAUAUUCAAGUAUUUUAGUGCAGUGUCACUCUCAUUAAGAAGAAGAGAAUCAGUAAAUCUAUGUGACUCUAAACAUUCUAAUGAAAAAAGGAAUAUUCUGCCAAUUAUCUCACAUUUCUAAAUAUCUGGAUAUUGGCCAUUGUAAAGACAAAACAUACAGAUGAUGGACUUGUCUUUCCACCUCUCAUUUGCAUGGUUUGGAGCAUUGUACCUCCAGCCAUAGACUCUAAGGCAAUUUAUAUUUGCUUCCUCUUCCCUCUUGAGAGAAAACGAAAAUCUUAUUUUUCCAAGCAAUUAAAACUCUUCUGCUUCAGCUAGGAUGAAAGAAUUAGGAGUUCUGUCUCCUUGUAUCUAAUUGCAUGUUUCAUCUUUCUUGUUUUAAUGAUUGACAGAAAACUAAUAAACUGAGACAUCUUUGAAUCCAGGUUGAAUGUACUCUCUUGGUGGCCCCAUUGCUAAUUUGUUUGACUAUUUUGCAGGAUUUCUUACUCUGUAAUGGAAAGGUUUAUUAAAUAUGAGGGGUGCAAAGCUUUCUGAAUACUAAUGAACUUAUUUGCCAAAAUUUAAAUGUUCUUCUUGUCAGUGAAUGUCUGUCUCUCUUAACAGGAUCCAAAUUGAAUAAUGAAGAAAAUUAGACUCUAUUGUACCCUCAGGAGAAAUCGUGGUGAAUCGUAAUAGAAUACAGAGGGGGAAAGGGGUCACAUUUUAGAAAAAAAGAGUAGAUAAUUUGGAUUAUUAAAAAAGGGAUUAACUCAGGAAAACUCUGUUCUUUUCAAAGAAACGUACUCAUAGUCAUUCAAUGAGCAGGAUUUCCCACUGCACAAGCAUCUAUACCUUUGGCCAGUGUAGAAAGAGAGUAAGGUCAUAAUCAUAUGGAGAUGCAUGCUAGGUUUCAGUAGUUACAAUUUACUAAUCUCAUUCCCAUAUAAGGCCUUUAUAUGCCUGUAAUGGAAUGGGAAAAUCAAUAAGCUUUGAAAAGGAACACUAUUCUUCAGAGAAGUUCAAUGGGAGAUAGUUGAGUUGGGGAAAUUGCCCCAGUUCUUCCUUUAAGCAUGAAAUGAGGCUGUCCCUAUGUAUGUUUACUUCCAUUGCCUUGGUGUUAUCACUGAUAAAGUCAAUGAUCAUGAUGCCUUUGCCUUGGCAGCACCUGGGGGGCACUGAAGGAACCAAGUAGCUGUACUCAUGGCCAGGAAGGCAGGCUGCCAGAACUUCAGCAGCCACACAAGUGGCCAAACAUGGUCAGGAACGAAAGUAGUGUGUGUAUGGAGUGAAAUGAAAUGAUGAGAGGAAAGUGAAGGAUGAUAUAAAGAUGGGGCUGUCCAAAGAUGGGAGUUCAUCCCUGUCCUGCACUUGAAAUAGGAAGGAAAGAACUGGAGAAGGAUUAGGUGAGGAAGGAUCCUGAAAUAGAGAAAAUAAAGGGAAGACUGCAUGCCUGCAGUGUUUGCUAAAAUUAAUUCGCCUGAGAUUUCAGGAGGAGCAAAGAAAGAUCAAGAGAAAGGGAAAACAGCCUCAAAGCCUGUGAAGGUUGAAAAACAAAAUAUAAACAAAAAAUUUUUAAAGCUAAGAUUAUGCUCUUCUAAGAAAAGAGGCUGGACACUAACAGAAAGCUUGAUGACAGCAGGAUUUGUAUUUAGCGGUUUAUUUAGAUCCCUAAGAAAAAAGGCUUAUGUGACAUAGAUUCAUAAGACACAAAUGUGUCCUUGGCUGACCAUACUAGGCUUCACUCCCAAAGGAGAAAAAGAAUGGUCGGCGCAUCUCAGAUUAACACCAACCAACUGUGCAAUAUUUCAUUUUAGAAAGCGUUUCCUUGUAUUAUCCAUGAUUAAAUAAAAAGAGACCUAGUGUAUUUGAUUGCUUCUGUGGCAAGGCUUGAGAAUUACAAACCUAGGUUUCCCUCUGGGAAUGAUCAUUGGAUUUUUAAAAUUAAGUAAGUGGAAGGAGAUUAAGAUUUAUUUCCAUCAUUUCAAAUCAUGAUCUGCACCUUUGGAAACAAAAAGGAAGUUGGAAAGUGGGAAGGUGAGGUAGGUGUGCAAGAAUGGGGAGAAAGAUGCUGCAAGCCAAAUAAGACUGUAUAAUUUCUGAGAAAAUU